GUUGAAGGGAUGCUGCUAAACAUCUACAAUGCCCAGGCCAACACCCAGCUCAAAGAAUGAUCCUGCUACAAAAGGUGACUUCAGAAUAGAUUCCACUUGGAGAUGUAUUUUAUUGUCAAUGACUAAUUGCUAAUGACUGUGGUAGACCAAGUGGACACAAGGGUGUACAGAAGACCAACAGCCUACAUCUUUCGGAUGGUGGUGGAGGUGAAGCAGAUGUCUACAAGCGACAGGU